AGCGAACGCUGGCGGCAGGCCUAACACUUGCGAGUCGAACGAACUCUUCGGAGUUAGUGGCGGACGGGUGAGUAACGCGUGGGAACGUGCCCUUUGGUACGGAAUAACUCAGGGAAACUUGAGCUAAUACCGUAUGUGCCCUUCGGGGGAAAGAUUUAUCGCCAUUGGAGCGGCCCGCGUCUGAUUAGCUAGUUGGUGAGGUAAAGGCUCACCAAGGCUACGAUCAGUAGCUGGUCUGAGAGGAUGAUCAGCCACAUUGGGACUGAGACACGGCCCAAACUCCUACGGGAGGCAGCAGUGGGGAAUCUUGCGCAAUGGGCGAAAGCCUGACGCAGCCAUGCCGCGUGAAUGAUGAAGGUCUUAGGAUUGUAAAAUUCUUUCACCGGGGACGAUAAUGACGGUACCCGGAGAAGAAGCCCCGGCUAACUUCGUG
rnacentral:rRNA from 1 species